UACGGAGGGUGCAAGCGUUGAUCGGAAUUACUGGGCGUAAAGCGCACGCAGGCGGUUUGUUAAGUCAGAUGUGAAAUCCCCGGGCUCAACCUGGGAACUGCAUCUGAUACUGGCAAACUUGAGUAUGGUAGAGGAGGGUGGAAUUCCAGGUGUAGGGGUGAAAUGCGUAGAGAUCUGGAGGAACACCGGUGGCGAAGGCGGCUACCUGGACGAAGACUGACGCUCAGGUGCGAAAGCGUGGGGAGCAAACAGG
rnacentral:rRNA from 1 species